UACGUAGGUGGCAAGCGUUGUCCGGAUUUACUGGGCGUAAAGAGCGCGCAGGCGGUCGUUCAAGUCGCGUGUGAAAGCCCCCGGCUCAACUGGGGAGGGUCACGCGAUACUGAUCGACUCGAAGGCAGGAGAGGGUAGUGGAAUUCCCGGUGUAGCGGUGAAAUGCGCAGAUAUCAGGAAGAACACCAAUGGCGAAAGCAGCUUUCUGGGACGGUACUGACGCUGAGACGCGAAAGCGUGGGGAGCGAACAGG
rnacentral:rRNA from 1 species